rnacentral:misc_RNA from 1 species
UUAAACUAUAUUUUUUCAGAAAAAGAUGAUUCAGAUCAGAGGUGGCAGAGAUGUUAAGAAACAUAUCCGUCAAAUACUAAUCACCAUAUUAAACGACGAUUUGGCAUGCAAACUAUCGUGGACAGGUCAAAAAAAAACGAUCGGAGUCAAAGACAUGAAAUUUGUUGAUGUUUUUGUAGAAGCCAUGAUCGCUUCGGAGGCUUGCACCAUUCAUGAGGUCCAGACAAUAAUACAAAGCUGGCUUCAGCAUGCCGGUGAUCGCGUUCGAUACCAUGAAAAAAAACACAA